rnacentral:lncRNA from 1 species
UAGAAACAUACCAGCACUGAGUCCUGUGAUUGAACAGGAGGAACGUAUCACCCAAGGCCUCUAUUCCAAACCUACUAGGAUACAGAAUGAAGUAGGCCAGGAACCUUAUGAAAGGCCCUAUUAAAAAAAAAAAAUAGGGAUGAAAUCACAGACUGAGGAAUAUACAAGGAGAGCUUGACAAAAGAAUCAGGAGAAAUGUCAGAGUCAGCAUGUACUUUGCUGCAACAACAUCACAUAGGGUUCAUUUUAACCAAUGCCACUUCCCUGCAGGCUUUUGUGCUCUGAGAUGGAGAACAGGAUCGGGGCAUUCCAAUUAUCUAGAUAUGCUUUGACUUACUUUCCUACUUACACCAGCCAUUGAUGAAUCUAAAUCCAAAUGAAGAAGAUUCAAAUUCUAGAAUCAUUUAGCAGGACAUUUUACCUAGAAAUAGAAGGAAAAAUAUCAUCCCUACGACUUUGUAUGACUUUGUAAGUACAGAAAAAAAAACUGAGUAAGUAAAUUAUUUUAUGACAUUUUUGAGUAUUUAGUAGAAGGUGGAUUUCUCAAUAAGAUGAGAAAGAAUAGGAAGUGCUUAGCUAAAUGUCUGACACAUGGUAAGCAUUGAGUAAUGGUCAGCAAUUAAUAAAAAUUGUGGUUACCAGGGACUGGAAAGGGAGGGGAAAGAAGUUGCUGUUUAACGGGUAUAGAGAUACAGAUUUGCAAGAUGAAAGUGUUU